GGUGUAAUUUUCCGCAAUGGGCGCAAGCCUGACGGAGCAAGACCGCGUGAGGGAAGAAGGUCUGUGGAUUGUAAACCUCUUUUGAUAGGGAAGAAGACAGUGACGGUACCUAUCGAAUCAGCCUCGGCUAACUCCGCGCCAGCAGCCGCGGUAAUACGGAGGAGGCAAGCGUUAUCCGGAAUUAUUGGGCGUAAAGAGUCCGUAGGUGGGUAACCAAGUCAGCUGUUAAAUAGUGAAGCUUAACUUCAUAGAGGCGGCUGAAACUGGUUGUCUAGAGUGUGGUAGGGGUAGAGGGAAUUUCCAGUGUAGCGGUGAAAUGCGUAGAUAUUGGAAAGAACACCGGUGGCGAAAGCGCUCUACUGGGCCUGCACUGACACUGAGGGACGAAAGCUAGGGGAGCGAAAGGGAUUAGAUACCCCUGUAGUCCUAGCCGUAAACGAUGGAUACUAGGCGUUGCCCGUAUCGACCCGGGCAGUGUCGUAGCCAACGCGUUAAGUAUC
rnacentral:rRNA from 1 species